UAGGGAAUCUUCCGCAAUGGGCGAAAGCCUGACGGAGCAACGCCGCGUGAGUGAUGAAGGUCUUCGGAUCGUAAAACUCUGUUAUUAGGGAAGAACAAAUGUGUAAGUAACUAUGCACACCUUGACGGUACCUAAUCAGAAAGCCACGGCUAACUACGUGCCAGCAGCCGCGGUACUACGUAGGUGGCAAGCGUUAUCCGGAAUUAUUGGGCGUAAAGCGCGCGUAGGCGGUUUUUUAAGUCUGAUGUGAAAGCCCACGGCUCAACCGUGGAGGGUAAUUGGAAACUGGAAAACUUGAGUGCAGAAGAGGAGAGUGGAGUUCCAGGUGUAGCGGUGAAAUGCGUAGAAAUAUGGGGGAACACCGGUGGGGAAGGCGACUCUCUGGUCUGUAACAGACGCAGAGGCUCGAAAGCGUGGGUAGCAAACAGG
rnacentral:rRNA from 1 species